rnacentral:rRNA from 1 species
AUACGGAGGGUGCAAGCGUUGUCCGGAUUUACUGGGUUUAAAGGGUCCGUAGGCGGGUCUUUAAGUCAGUGGUGAAAUCCUACGGCUCAACCGUAGAACUGCCAUUGAUACUGAAGAUCUUGAGUAUAGUUGAGGUAGGCGGAAUUUAUGAUGUAGCGGUGAAAUGCAUAGAUAUCAUAAAGAACACCAAUUGCGAAGGCAGCUUACUAAACUAUUACUGACGCUCAGGGACGAAAGCGUGGGGAGCGAACAGGAUUAGAAACCCCAGUAGUCC